rnacentral:piRNA from 1 species
UGGGCUGCCCUUGGUGUUCCUCCAACCCUGU